GCGUGGCCCGCGUGACAUAAGGCGUCUGACUUCGAAUCAGAAGAUUGCCGGUUCAAGUCCGAUCGUGGGCU